AAGCUACUCCCUCCGUCCGGAAAUACUUGUCAUCAAAAUAAAUAAAAGGGGAUGUAUCUAGAUGUAUAUUAGUUCUAGAUACAUCCCUCUUUAUCCAUUUUGAUGACAAGUAUUUUCGGACGGAGGGAGUAUUUC
rnacentral:pre_miRNA from 1 species